CCUACGGGAGGCAGCAGUCGAGAAUCAUUCACAAUGGGGGAAACCCUGAUGGUGCGACGCCGCGUGGGGGAAUGAAGGUCUUCGGAUUGUAAACCCCUGUCAUGUGGGAGCAAAUUAAAAAGAUAGUACCACACGAGGAAGAGACGGCUAACUCUGUGCCAGCAGCCGCGGUAAUACAGAGGUCUCAAGCGUUGUUCGGAAUCACUGGGCGUAAAGCGUGCGUAGGCUGUUUCGUAAGUCGUGUGUGAAAGUCGCGGGCUCAACCCGCGGACGGCACAUGAUACUGCGAGACUAGAGUAAUGGAGGGGGAACCGGAAUUCUCGGUGUAGCAGUGAAAUGCGUAGAUAUCGAGAGGAACACUCGUGGCGAAGGCGGGUUCCUGGACAUUAACUGACGCUGAGGCACGAAGGCCAGGGGAGCGAAAGGGAUUAGAUACCCGGGUAGUC
rnacentral:rRNA from 1 species